CGCAGACCCGCAGACUCCUCCUCCUCCCGUGGAGGGCGGGUAGCCUGUAUAGGACGCCGGAGGACUCCUCCCCUCGGUGGUCUUAACCCUUCUAUUCCCGGCGCGGCCCGCACCCCCGCCACUCCCGCCUUCCCGCCAGGUCUGAGGAUGGGAGGCGGUGCACUGGCGUCCUGAUGGCGGAAACCUGAUCCCGGGAAAGAAGGAGGCAUGAGCGAUGAAAUCUACUUUUUCUCCCCACACCCGGAGUCCAAUGUUGUAUACCACGCGAGUGCCCAUGAGAUUCUUCUGAACUGAAAAUGAAUUCUGCUCUCUGUCAGUCUGUGCUUUUAGCUAGUCCUCUGAGCUGUAUUUCUGCAGAAAUCUACGAGUCUUCUGCAGACAGAGGCGCUGGAGAGCAGGGGUUUAUUUCUGUCAGAGCCCACACUCUUAAGCAUUCCCAACCGUACCCUCCGUAAAGGCUGGGGAGAAGUGGGAAGAGCUGGUGACUUCAGUGUCCGUUCACAGCUGGUGGCACCAAGUCUGGUUACAGAGUAGGAGCCAGAAUCCCGUGAUGUCCAGAGAUGUCCAGCAUGUCAAAUUCUAGGCCAGAGACCGAGCCACAGGCACCAAGAGGCCAGAAAAUAUUGGAUGGCAGUUGGCUUAAAACGCAAUGGCCGGUGCUUUGCG